UGUAAAUAAAUGGUGAGAUAAAGUUAUAUAUAUAACUCCCAUUACAAUGAUUUUUUGAGAACCCCAGUACAGUGAUUUGAGAGGGCAUGCAUCUCAAGGUUAUAUAUAUCCACUCAUGCGUUCCCAUCCGCCCGGCUGCCCCCCAGCCGACGUUCCUUGAGUUUGGAUUGGAUGGUCAGACCACGAGGAGAAAACGAGGCCUUCGUCGUCUUAGCGCGCGGGGGCGUAGGACGGCGGCAGCGGCAGCCCCACGACCUUGCCGCAGCGGAGGGCGUUGUCGGGCAUGUUGUACUCGUCGCGCAGUGAUCGCGCCGGCGAGACGACGCUGAUGUAGAACUGCUCCCCG
rnacentral:lncRNA from 1 species